UGAUUUGCUUCCUAUUGCACCACUGAUUGUGUUCAUCAUUAGGAAAUAUUAGCAUGUAAAAACCAUGUUUGUUUAUAUGCAAGUAAGUUGCCUGAUUUUUUUUUUUCUUUUUAAUUGUUCACUUUUAAAGAACACUUAUGUUAAAAAGAUGUGUCCUGAUUUCAUUAUCUCAGAGACUAAUUUGUGGUAGAAAUAUUUCUUUUGGCUAAACUAAAAAUUGUUUAGUGACAAGGACUCAGUCUAAGGCACUGUAACAAAAGGGAAAUGACCUCUUUGUGAUUCCUGAGUAUUCUGAGUUAGUUCAAAGAUGUCAUUUCAUGUUUUUUCACUUUUAUAACAUUGAUGUAAAGAUAGCGAUUAAAACCUUAUCAUUUUUAGUAGCACGGUUAUGCUUCUCAGGCUGAUUUCCUGUUUCUGGUUUCAGU
rnacentral:lncRNA from 1 species